AGUGAACGCUGGCGGUAGGCCUAACACAUGCAAGUCGAACGGCAGCACAGUAAGAGCUUGCUCUUACGGGUGGCGAGUGGCGGACGGGUGAGGAAUACAUCGGAAUCUACUUUUUCGUGGGGGAUAACGUAGGGAAACUUACGCUAAUACCGCAUACGACCUACGGGUGAAAGCAGGGGAUCUUCGGACCUUGCGCGAUUGAAUGAGCCGAUGUCGGAUUAGCUAGUUGGCGGGGUAAAGGCCCACCAAGGCGACGAUCCGUAGCUGGUCUGAGAGGAUGAUCAGCCACACUGGAACUGAGACACGGUCCAGACUCCUACGGGAGGCAGCAGUGGGGAAUAUUGGACAAUGGGCGCAAGCCUGAUCCAGCCAUACCGCGUGGGUGAAGAAGGCCUUCGGGUUGUAAAGCCCUUUUGUUGGGAAAGAAAAUCAGCAGGUUAAUACCCCGCUGUUCUGACGGUACCCAAAGAAUAAGCACCGGCUAACUUCGU
rnacentral:rRNA from 1 species